CAGCCGCCACGGUAAUACGAAGGUCCCGAGCGUUGUUCGGAAUCACUGGGCGUAAAGGGAGCGUAGGCGGCGUGGUAAGUCAGAUGUGAAAUCCCGGGGCUCAACCCCGGAACUGCAUCCGAUACUGCCAUGCUAGAGGAUUGGAGAGGUAGCUGGAAUUCUUGGUGUAGCAGUGAAAUGCGUGGAGAUCAAGAGGAACACUCGUGGCGAAAGCGAGCUACUGGACAAUAACUGACGCUGAGGCUCGAAGGCCAGGGUAGCGAAAGGGAUUAGAUACCCCUGUAGUCCCUGUCUCUUAUAC
rnacentral:rRNA from 1 species